CCACCUGACCCCAUGCCGAACUCAGAAGUGAAACGCCGUAGCGCCGAUGGUAGUGUGGGGUCUCCCCAUGCGAGAGUAGGGAGCUGCCAGGC
rnacentral:rRNA from 1 species